rnacentral:rRNA from 1 species
CCUACGGUGGGCAGCAGUGGGGAAUAUUGCACAAUGGGGGAAACCCUGAUGCAGCGACGCCGCGUGAGUGAAGACGUAAUUCGUUAUGUUAAGCUCUAUCAGCAGGGAAGAAAAUGACGGUACCUGAGUAAGAAGCCCCGGCUAACUACGUGCAAGCUGCCGCGGUAAUACGUAGGGGGCAAGCGUUAUCCGGAUUUACUGGGUGGAAAGGGAGCGUAGCCGGCAGUGCAAGUCUGGAGUGAAAGGCGGGGGCUCAACCCCCGGACUGCUGUGGAAACUGUACGGAUGGAGUGCAGGAGAGGUAAGUGGAAUUCCUAGUGUAGCGGUGAAAUGCGUAGAUAUUAGGAGGAACACCAGUGGCGAAGGCGGGUGACUGGACUGUAACUGACGUUGAGGCUCGAAAGCGUGGGGAGCAAACAGGAUUAGAUACCCUUGUAGUC